rnacentral:rRNA from 1 species
GACGAACGCUGGCGGCGUGCCUAAUACAUGCAAGUCGAGCGAGACUCUUCGGAGUCUAGCGGCGGACGGGUGAGUAACACGUGGGCAACCUGCCUGUAAGACUGGGAUAACACCGGGAAACCGGUGCUAAUACCGGAUAAUCCUUUUCCUCUCAUGAGGAGAAGCUGAAAGACGGUUUCGGCUGACACUUACAGAUGGGCCCGCGGCGCAUUAGCUAGUUGGUGAGGUAACAGCUCGCCAAGGCGACGAUGCGGAGCCGACCUGAGAGGGUGAUCGGCCACACUGGGACUCAGACACGGCCCAGACUCCUACGGGAGGCAGCGGUAGGGAAGCUUCCACAAUGGACGAAAGUCUGAUGGAGCAACGCCGCGUGAGCGAUGAGGGCCGUCGGGUCGUAAAGCUCUGUUGUUAGGGAAGAACAAGUACCGGAGUAACUGCCGGUACCUUGACGGUACCUAACCAGAAAGCCACGGCUAACUACGUGCCAGCCGCCGCCGUAACAC